AUUGAACGCUGGCGGCAUGCCUUACACAUGCAGGUCGAACGGCAGCACGGGAGCAAUCCUGGUGGCGAGUGGCGAACGGGUGAGUAAAGUAUCGGAACGUGCCCAGUCGUGGGGGAUAACGUAGCGAAAGUUACGCUAAUACCGCAUACGAUCUAUGGACGAAAGCGGGGGAUCGCAAGACCUCGCGCGAUUGGAGCGGCCGAUAUCAGAUUAGGUAGUUGGUGGGGUAAAGGCUCACCAAGCCGACGAUCUGUAGCUGGUCUGAGAGGACGACCAGCCACACUGGGACUGAGACACGGCCCAGACUCCUACGGGAGGCAGCAGUGGGGAAUUUUGGACAAUGGGCGAAAGCCUGAUUCAGCCAUGCCGCGUGCAGGAUGAAGGCCUUCGGGUUGUAAACUGCUUUUGUACGGAACGAAAAGGUUUGGCCUAAUAAGCUGAGCUCAUGACGGUACCGUAAGAAUAAGCACCGGCUAACUACGUGCCAGCAGCCGCCGUAAAAC
rnacentral:rRNA from 1 species